rnacentral:tRNA from 1 species
GCCGGCUUAGCUCAGUGGUAGAGCAACCGCUUCGUAAGCGGUAGGUCGUGUGUUCAAAUCACACAGCCGGCACCA